GGAUAUGAAAACUUUCCCCAAAAUCAUAUUUUUUGACUCUUAUUAGACUAAAUAUUUUAUCAUAGCAGUUUAAUGAUAUUCACACACGUCAAUUUGUCCUGGCCAGGAAAUCAUUCUAGUAUUAUUACUGGUUCAAAAUAAAACACAGCUACAUACCUAGAGUUUCACUGGAAAUCCCUUUCGACUGUUAUAGAACAAGUGAACAACUGCUCCAAUUUUACCUAGAACUAUACCACGAUCCGCAUAUACAUGUAUAUGUCUAUCGUAGUAAUCGAACGGAUAACAAACAUGACUACAGAGAAGGAAGGAAAUGGAUGGAAUAACACCAUACAGAAAGGGAACCAAUGCAAAGAACCUCCCUUACCCAAAAAUGCUAUUUUUUACUGCAGAUAUAUAAGGAUGAAAAACAGAAAUUCAGUUAGUGCCUUGCUUUCAGAAUAUCAAGACCCUGCAGUGGAGAUCCAUGUAGCUCAGUUUUUGUUGCAAUCAUCUUCACAAUCAAAGACCACAACUCUGCCCCUCAACUGAUUAAGAGAAGUAUUGUUCUUGUUUGACUCAUCAAUCUAAGCAAACAGAAACACUUUAAGUCAGUGGUUCACUUAAUCUGGUUACACAUGUAAGUAACUUACCAAAUAAAGAGGAAUUAAUCUCUGAAGGUUUCAUGAAAAUUCUUAGUGGAAUUCGUUAGAACGACUGACCUUAACCCAUCCGGUGUGCUCCCUAUGUAGGCAUUCUAGUAUUCCACCUGUCGGUCACAUUCGCAGAUGCCUUGCCUGAGGUGAGAUGCCACAUCAAUCAUAAAUAGACUUGAAGCAGUGAUGCACUGGUAUGUGCAUAACCAUGGCCAAACUUCAUCAAAUUUACCAAAUCGAUUAAUUUUAGUUGAAAACUGAAUUAAAAAUUUGGAGAUCAGUGUGACCACUUGCCAUUCUCUUGGACUAACCAGGGAGGCACCCAUAGGUUUCUAUCAAGUACUGCAGCACAACUCUUAAUUCUUUUCCGUUGCCUGGAUAAGCCGUUGGGACGUACUGCACUCAAGAGAAAAGGUUGCAUGAACCAGAUCGAAUUCCCAGUUCACCUACUUCAAGUCCAAAAACAGCUGAAGCAAGUAGCAUAUUUGACAAAAAUAAUUGGAAACUUUUAACUCACUUGUUGCUGGGUCUGUUCUAGAACCUGCAUCACAGAAAAAAAUAUCCUGUAAGUACAUGUUUUGAAAGCUUCGACAAACUAUUUGAUCAGUAUAUAUGUUUAACGAAUCAAAUUCCAAAUUUUAGUUGUCGAACUCAUGAACAAUGCAGCAAUAUACCGAUGCAGAUAUAAAAUUUGCUUACCCCAGUCGACGGCCACUACACUCCUUCCCUAUGAUUGUCAGCCCACACCUCCAGGCAAGAUGAUAAUGAUAUUAUAAUGCAUAGUUACGCUGGCACUUGUGAAGACGGAACUUCAGGUCAUUGAACAUUUGUGCAGUC
rnacentral:lncRNA from 1 species